rnacentral:rRNA from 1 species
AAAUUGAAGAGUUUGAUCAUGGCUCAGAUUGAACGCUGGCGGCAGGCCUAACACAUGCAAGUCGAGCGGUAGCACAGAGAGCUUGCUCUCGGGUGACGAGCGGCGGACGGGUGAGUAAUGUCUGGGAAACUGCCUGAUGGAGGGGGAUAACUACUGGAAACGGUAGCUAAUACCGCAUAACGUCGCAAGACCAAAGUGGGGGACCUUCGGGCCUCAUGCCAUCAGAUGUGCCCAGAUGGGAUUAGCUAGUAGGUGGGGUAACGGCUCACCUAGGCGACGAUCCCUAGCUGGUCUGAGAGGAUGACCAGCCACACUGGAACUGAGACACGGUCCAGACUCCUACGGGAGGCAGCAGUGGGGAAUAUUGCACAAUGGGCGCAAGCCUGAUGCAGCCAUGCCGCGUGUGUGAAGAAGGCCUUCGGGUUGUAAAGCACUUUCAGCGGGGAGGAAGGCGAUAAGGUUAAUAACCUUGUUGAUUGACGUUACCCGCAGAAGAAGCACCGGCUAACUCCGUGCCAGCAGCCGCGGUAAUACGGAGGGUGCAAGCGUUAAUCGGAAUUACUGGGCGUAAAGCGCACGCAGGCGGUCUGUCAAGUCGGAUGUGAAAUCCCCGGGCUCAACCUGGGAACUGCAUUCGAAACUGGCAGGCUAGAGUCUUGUAGAGGGGGGUAGAAUUCCAGGUGUAGCGGUGAAAUGCGUAGAGAUCUGGAGGAAUACCGGUGGCGAAGGCGGCCCCCUGGACAAAGACUGACGCUCAGGUGCGAAAGCGUGGGGAGCAAACAGGAUUAGAUACCCUGGUAGUCCACGCCGUAAACGAUGUCGAUUUGGAGGUUGUGCCCUUGAGGCGUGGCUUCCGGAGCUAACGCGUUAAAUCGACCGCCUGGGGAGUACGGCCGCAAGGUUAAAACUCAAAUGAAUUGACGGGGGCCCGCACAAGCGGUGGAGCAUGUGGUUUAAUUCGAUGCAACGCGAAGAACCUUACCUGGUCUUGACAUCCACAGAACUUAGCAGAGAUGCUUUGGUGCCUUCGGGAACUGUGAGACAGGUGCUGCAUGGCUGUCGUCAGCUCGUGUUGUGAAAUGUUGGGUUAAGUCCCGCAACGAGCGCAACCCUUAUCCUUUGUUGCCAGCGGUUAGGCCGGGAACUCAAAGGAGACUGCCAGUGAUAAACUGGAGGAAGGUGGGGAUGACGUCAAGUCAUCAUGGCCCUUACGACCAGGGCUACACACGUGCUACAAUGGCAUAUACAAAGAGAAGCGACCUCGCGAGAGCAAGCGGACCUCAUAAAGUAUGUCGUAGUCCGGAUUGGAGUCUGCAACUCGACUCCAUGAAGUCGGAAUCGCUAGUAAUCGUAGAUCAGAAUGCUACGGUGAAUACGUUCCCGGGCCUUGUACACACCGCCCGUCACACCAUGGGAGUGGGUUGCAAAAGAAGUAGGUAGCUUAACCUUCGGGAGGGCGCUUACCACUUUGUGAUUCAUGACUGGGGUGAAGUCGUAACAAGGUAACCGUAGGGGAACCUGCGGUUGGAUCACCUCCUUA